UACGGAGGGAGCUAGCGUUGUUCGGAAUUACUGGGCGUAAAGCGCACGUAGGCGGCUUUGUAAGUUAGAGGUGAAAGCCCGGGGCUCAACUCCGGAACUGCCUUUAAGACUGCAUCGCUUGAAUCCAGGAGAGGUGAGUGGAAUUCCGGAGUGUAGAGGUGAAAUUCGUAGAUAUUCGGAAGGAACACCAGUGGCGAAGGACGGCUGCAC
rnacentral:rRNA from 1 species